ACUAGGCCUCACUAGAGCGACUGCUGGGAGGGCGGGCCUUUCCUAAUAAGGUAAAAAUUCCAGGAAAUUCAAAGCAGAAGCAUCAAUCCAGAGGGCUGGGUGGGAACUAUACACACAACCACCUCCUGGAGCGGAGGUGUUCUGUUCUGCUAGUCAGUCUGUCCCAGGAGGGCCCUGAGAAAGCAGCUGGAUGAGCUGCUGGAGGUUUGGGAAGGCCGCAGCCUAAACCUGUCUGAGGAGAAUGAAGAUGCAACUAAGUGUGGAGGACUCCUGCAGCUGUUGAAGCAAACGUUCUGCUCAUUUGUGUCAUGGAGGAUUUCAGGUGUACUCUGUAUACAGAACAUCUUGAUAUGUGCAAGCUGCUGAAGGAAAUCAAGAGUUAUGGGUAAAAGAAGCAUUUCCAGUUUGCUUUCCUGGUCCUGAGAGGUGGAUUAUAGAAAAUCUUUAUGCCAAGUUGAGUUUAAGGCCCAGCUGGCAGGUGGUGGCGGCAGCACCAAUCCAGAAGGAGACCAGGCUAAAAAGGUGAACUGGUUCGUCCAG